UACGGGAGGCAGCAGUGGGGAAUAUUGCACAAUGGGCGAAAGCCUGAUGCAGCUAUGCCGCGUGUAUGAAGAAGGCCUUAGGGUUGUAAAGUACUUUCAUCGGGGAGGAAAAAACAAAACUAAUAAUUUUAUUUCUUGAUGUUACCCGAAAAAGAAGCACCGGCUAACUCCGUGCCAGCAGCCGCGGUAAUACGGAGGGUGCUAGCGUUAAUCAGAAUUACUGGGCGUAAAGAGCACGUAGGUGGUUUUUUUAAGUCAGAUGUGAAAUCCCUGGGCUUAACCUGGAACUGCAUUUUGAAACUGAAAUACUAGAGUAUCGUAGAGGGAGGUAGAAUUCUAGGUGUAGCGGUGAAAUGCGUAGAUAUCUGGAGGAAUACCUGUGGCGAAAGCGGGCCUCCUAAACGAAUACUGACACUGAGGUGCGAAAGCGUGGGGAGCAAACAGGGAUUAGAUACCCGU
rnacentral:rRNA from 1 species